AACGAACGCUGGCGGCAUGCCUAAUACAUGCAAGUCGAACGAGACCUUCGGGUCUAGUGGCGCACGGGUGCGUAACGCGUGGGAAUCUGCCCUUAGGUUCGGAAUAACUCCUCGAAAGGGGUGCUAAUACCGGAUGAUGACGUAAGUCCAAAGAUUUAUCGCCUAAGGAUGAGCCCGCGUAGGAUUAGCUAGUUGGUGGGGUAAAGGCCUACCAAGGCGAAGAUCCUUAGCUGGUCUGAGAGGGUGAUCAGCCACACUGGGACUGAGACACGGGCCAGACUCCUACGGGAGGCAGGAGUAGGGAAUAUUGGACAAUGGGCGAAAGCCUGAUCCAGCAAUGCCGCGUGAGCGAUGAAGGCCUUAGGGUUGUAAAGCUCUUUUACCCGGGAUGAUAAUGACAGUACCGGGAGAAUAAGCCCCGGCUAACUCCGUGCCAGCCGCCGCCGUAA
rnacentral:rRNA from 1 species